rnacentral:rRNA from 1 species
GGCCUUAUAUCCCCCGGUUUGCAACCUGAAGAUGAGCUCGCGUCCGAUUAGCUAGUAGGUGGGGUAAGAGCCUACCUAGGCGACGAUCGGUAGCUGGUCUGAGAGGAUGACCAGCCACACUGGGACUGAGACACGGCCCAGACUCCUACGGGAGGCAGCAGUGGGGAAUUUUCCGCAAUGGGCGAAAGCCUGACGGAGCAAUACCGCGUGAGGGAGGAAGGCUCUUGGGUUGUAAACCUCUUUUCUCAGGGAAGAACACAAUGACGGUACCUGAGGAAUCAGCAUCGGCUAACUCCGUGCCAGCAGCCGCGGUAAUACGGAGGAUGCAAGCGUUAUCCGGAAUGAUUGGGCGUAAAGCGUCCGCAGGUGGCUGUGUAAGUCUGCUGUCAAAGAGCAAAGCUCAACUUUGUAAAGGCAGUGGAAACUACACGGCUAGAGUGCGUUCGGGGCAGAGGGAAUUCCUGGUGUAACGGUGAAAUGCGUAGAGAUCAGGAAGAACACCGGUGGCGAAGGCGCUCUGCUAGGCCGCAACUGACACUGAGGGACGAAAGCUAGGGGAGCGAAUGGGAUUAGAUACCCCCUUAGUCAGAUAGGACGGGUGAGGUAUCGAAGACCAUUAACACGAUAAUCCUCAGGAGUGAGAUGUCNGUGGGAUACAACAACCUCCAA